GACGAACGCUGGCGGCGUGCUUAACACAUGCAAGUCGAACGGAAAGGCCCUGCUUUUGUGGGGUGCUCGAGUGGCGAACGGGUGGGUAACACGUGAGUAACCUGCCCUUGACUUUGGGAUAACUUCAGGAAACUGGGGCUAAUACCGGAUAGGAGCUCCUGCUGCAUGGUGGGGGUUGGAAAGUUUCGGCGGUUGGGGAUGGACUCGCGGCUUAUCAGCUUGUUGGUGGGGUAGUGGCUUACCAAGGCUUUGACGGGUAGCCGGCCUGAGAGGGUGACCGGCCACAUUGGGACUGAGAUGCGGCCCAGACUCCUACGGGAGGCAGCAGUGGGGAAUAUUGCACAAUGGGCUGAAGCCUGAUGCAGCAACGCCGCGUGCGGGAUGACGGCCUUCGGGUUGUAUACCGCUUUCGCCUGUGACGAAGCGUGAGUGACGGUAAUGGGUAAAGAAGCACCGGCUAACUACGUG
rnacentral:rRNA from 1 species